UAAGGAGGGUGCGAGCGUUAAUCGGAAUAACUGGGCGUAAAGGGCACGCAGGCGGGCUUUUAAGUGAGGUGUGAAAUCCCCGGGCUUAAACUGGGAAUAGCAUUUCAGACUGGGAGUCUAGAGUACUUUAGGGAGGGGUAGAAUUCCACGUGGAGCGGUGAAAUGCGUAGAGAUGUGGAGGGAUACCGAAGGCGUAGGCAGCCCCUUGGGAAUGUACUGACGCUCAUGU
rnacentral:rRNA from 1 species